AAAGUUUAUACAAAACACCAACAUGUGAGGUUGGAGAAGAUACAAUCUUA
rnacentral:tRNA from 1 species